rnacentral:rRNA from 1 species
AUUGAACGCUAGCGGCAUGCUUUACACAUGCAAGUCGAACGAGUGGCGGACGGGUGAGUAAUAUAUCGGAACGUGCCCAAUAGCGGGGGAUAACUACUCGAAACAGUGGCUAAUACCGCAUACUAUUGGCUGUGCCCAUAUGUGAUUAGCUAGUUGGUGGGGUAAAGGCUCACCAAGGAGACGAUCCCUAGCUGGUGUGAGAGGAAGACCAGCCACACUGGGACUGAGACACGGACCAGACUCCUACGGGAGGCAGGAGUGGGGAAUAUUGGACAAUGGGCGAAACCCUGAUGCAGCCAUCCCGCGUGUAUGAGAAGGCCUGCGGGUUGUAAAGUACUUUUGGCAGAGAAGCGGUAUCUGAAGAAUAAGCACCGGCUAACUACGUGCCAGCAGCCGCGGUAAUAC